UAUGAGAAGAUCCUGAAGCUCACGGC
rnacentral:piRNA from 3 species